UUGAGUAGUUGUUGUUUUUUAGGUCCUUAUUUACUCUUACUCAAGUACUUAUUUCUACGAGUACUGUUACUUCUACUUGAGUAACAUCAUUGUAAAGUAACUUUUACUUGAGGACUGUUUCGGUUGACUCUACCCACCUCUGGUCAUUUCUCAAGCAGCAGAUCACAGAUUGUUUGACGUCACGGACCUAGCUUGAUUGUUUCCAUGACUCACGUCGCUUCAGUCUCUGCCGUCCAAAGUAGUUAACUUACCAAGUCAAAGUUAGUUUAAACUUGAUUUUCUGUUUCUUUCUGAAGUUCUCAUUAAAAAUCACUUUAAAAGCCAUCUUCUGUUGUUUAACGGCAGACUAACGAGGCCGUUAGCAUUCUGCUAAUCAACGGUCGGCAGGUUUCAAACGGACCGGUCCAUGGAGCGGGUCAGCUUCAGCCCGUUAGCCUCCAAAGCAACGUAGGGAGGGGGGGUUAGAAAGACAUCCAUUAUAAAAACGGCCUUCUGACAGUUUACAGCUUGUUUUUAACUCUUUAUCUUAUUAAAGGUAAAACCAUUACAACAUCAUCAAAACAAUACCAACUCUGUGAGGCAGGUGGAGUGGCACCGACCGUCCUUUACCCCCCCUCUCCUCUUCAGAUGGAUCCGUCCAUGAAGGGUCAGAGGUCAAGGGUGAAAUAAUAAAGUGAUAUCAGAACAGAGUGAGCAGAGAUGAAUGAAAACACAAUUAAACUGGAUCAUAAAGGACCAGAGGAAAGGGACUGCAAACGGACUACAGAGAGGAAGACAUGUGGACCUGGAGCCAGAAGACUGAUGCAUUUUAUCAUCUCUUCUUGAACCUCUUCAUUGGACAGAGUCGUGUCAAACAGACCAGGAGUGUCGACCACAGUGACAGGACGACCGUCCACUUCACCUUGUUCUUUCUGACAGUCCUUAGUGACUGAUAUUUGACUUGAUUUGGCUUUAAACUCCUUUCUUUCAAGAAUGGUGUUUCCUGAAGAACUCUUCCCACAGCCGGUCUUCCCGAUCAGCACAAUCCUGAGACCCUCUGAGCUCUGCUUCUCAUCAUCACCUGUGAAAUAAGAAGGGAUGGAGUUACUUUAAAUGGAGGCUGAACAGUAAAAGCUGCAAAACAUGAUCUUGAACAGGCUUCUUAUUAUAGAAAUAACAGUUAGUAGAAAGAUUGUUUUAUUUUGCAGCAAUUAAUAAAUUGAAAUGUACUGUACUUACAAGUGAUUCCAAACUUAGCAUGUAGUUUGCUGAUCGUUUCAUUUUGGGCAUGUGCAUACAUCUCUGUUGUAUAGCUGCAUGGGUUGCCUCUGUUAGGUCUCACUUUCUCCACCUUCUUUAGCAGCUCUGGGAUCUGCUGCUUGUCCUUGAUGUUGAGAACUAAAGAUCUUCCUCCACAGCUAAGGAGCUGAAGGAGCUCCUGAACUUCCUUGUUUUUCUGUAGAAAGUUAACAACAGCUGGAGCUGUAGGAUCUGACUCUACAGUGAACAGAAUCAUGUGAGAGGACUCACAGGUAGGACCAGGAUGAAGGCAUGGACACCUUCAGGAUCACAGAGGGAGACACACCUGAGUGAUUCCUCCAUCACUGUCUCCAGAGGUUUUCCACUCAGAGCAGGAAGCUCCACCAGGGAAACCCAACGUCCACACACCUCUCCCUGAUGUUUAACACACUCUGAUGAGCUGGAGGCUGAAUAAAGACCAGUCUGACCUAAAAUGGCCUUUGCUGCUGAAGUCUUCCCUGCUCCUCUCCUCCCCCACAGGACCAGGUUUAAAGCUGGUUUCAUGUGUUCAGACUUCAGAGUGAUCAACUCUUCAGUGAGGGUGAGGAAGUCUCCUUUGUUGUCGUGAAUAAUUUUCUUGAUUUGAUCCAUUAGUAUUGUGUAAUUAUUCUCAGCCAUAUUGUAGUGUCUUCCUGCACAGUGUCUACAGAGUUGACUGAAAGAGUCGUCUGUUUGACCGUCCUCAUGUGUGCUGAUGAUCACUGAGUGUUUAAAAGCAUCUUGACCAAACAGACUGAGGAUGAACUUUAGUGUUUGUCUGUUCUCUUCAGUGAACUUUGAAGGUUUCACUAACAGCAGCAGAACAUUUGGUCCUGGAGGACAAAGACUCACAGCGUUCCUCAUCUCUCGUCUGAGCUUCUCCACAGACAGACUGAAAACAUCUGGAGUUUUUACUACUUUUAGAGGCUUUCCUCUCCUUUUUCCAUCUUCCACCGAAGACAUCUGUGCAAAAGGCUUUGGCAAAUAGCUUUCCCAGGGUUGAAUAUUUCCUAUUAUAAAGUUGAAAAGCUC